AGAGUUUGAUCCUGGCUCAGAACGAACGCUGGCGGCGUGCCUAACACAUGCAAGUCGAACGGAAUCAGGGGGCUUGCUCCUUGAUUUAGUGGCGCACGGGUGAGUAAUGCGUAGAUAAUCUAUCUGAGGAUCCGGGAUAACAUUUCGAAAGGGGUGCUAAUACGGGAUAAGCCCACGUGAGUCUUCGUGACUCUGCGGUGAAAAGGGGGGA
rnacentral:rRNA from 1 species